rnacentral:lncRNA from 1 species
CUCAAUCUCAUAUAUUCGCCGGUAAUCCCACAGCCAUGUCGCUCAUCCCAAGCUGGUUCGGCGGCCGCCGCAGCAACGUCUUCGACCCUUUCUCCCUCGACCUCUGGGAACCCUUCAAGGACUUCCCUUUCCCUUCCUCCUCCCUUUCCGCCUCUGAUUUCCCCCAGGCGUUCCGGGAGAACACUGCUUUCGUGAACACGAGGAUCGACUGGAAGGAGACCCCGGAAGCCCACGUGUUCAAGGCGGAUCUCCCCGGGCUCAAGAAGGAGGAGGUCAAGGUGGAGAUCGAGGACGAUCGGGUGCGCCAGAUAAGCGGCGAGAGGAACGUGGAGAAGGAGGACAAGAACGACACGUGGCACCGGGUGGAGAGGAGCAGCGGGAAAUUCAUGAGGAAGUUCAGGUUGCCCGAGAACGCGAGGAUGGAUCAGGUGAAGGCGUCGAUGGAGAACGGGGUGCUCACCGUGACUGUUCCCAAGGUGGAGGAGAAGAAGCCGGAGGUCAAGGCCAUCGAGAUCUCUGGUUGAGAGAUGGUGAAUCUGCGGCUGGCGCGACAACUUGUGUAUACACGUACACAGAGUGAGUGUCUGCGUGUGCUGUCUGCUGUGUGGCUUUCGCAUGUCCUGAGUUGGCCUGAGUUGGGAGUCUCGGUCCUCGUCUUUGAUAUGGCGGUGUAAUAGGUUGGAAAUAUGGCGAUGUGACAUAACUAUAGUAACCUGUUUUAUGUGAUAUCGGUUCCUCAAAAUCUUUCGGUUUUCUCGCCUUUCGCUUCCCCAUUCAGCACCGAAUUACGGCCUUGUCCCAAGGGACUUAAUUUAGUUCUUUUUUGGGAUGGUUAAUUCAUUCUCUUGGAAGAAUUCCUGUGAAGUGCAAGUGUUGUACUCGCAGGUUGUGAUCAUUUGUUUUUUUUUUUUUUUUCAAUUGGGUUUGGGGGUACCUGCAAAUUGCAUCGAGAGAAGCUGACAACUUUCGGGAUGAAACGAGGCUUAGAACCAUGAUUCUCCUUUUGAGCUCAGCGCGAGCUGCAGGGUUUCUUAUGCUGCAUUGUAUUGGGUUUGUCAGAUAACAUGACUAGAUAUCCCAACAAGUUUUUUAUUUCCGCUUGAUCGUCAUCAAAUCAGAGAUAACAAGAUCAGAUAUCCUUUCCUGAUGCUUAGCUCGAUUUCGUCUUUGAAAGCUCCGGGUUUCAUCCUCAUCUCUUCCCCAUCAACCAUGAGUCUCCUCACCGCUUGCUCCAUCUCUCUCUGGUUUAGAUCACCCUCCAACUCCAAUCCCACCAUUCAAACGUGGCACGGGUACCCUGCCUUCACAUUCUGGUCCCUACGGUUGGUGUAUCGUUGGGACUCCUUAGGAAAUAAUUUCCAAGGAACUAGUUCCAUCUGCAAAAGGUCCAAAAGCCUCCCGAGUUACGUGUGCUAAAACUUGCACCUCAUGAGCCCAUCUCGUAACACGGCCAAUUUUUGUUGGCUUUUUUGGACCCUUGCGCUAACAGCUCGAUCCACUCUGAGCCUCUGACUGAGCGAGGUCGGACCAGCCGGAAGAAUGCCACUCUUUGCCAGCCCCCAAGCCGUUUCUGCAAACUCUCCCUGAUCUAUUUUGAAGCCAAGCUUUCCUAAGCUCACAAGUAUAACUGAAUUAUGUGCUUGCUUAUCAAGCCACAAGAGGCAACUGGUUUCUUCCCUCUAUUAUACUGGUUGGCAAAGCCGGAGCAACUUUGUGCAGCGAGCCUGGUGAAAAAAAUGGCGCUCGUUAUUGUCUAUGGAGUUGGUCCGGUAACUGUUUCUCCAGGCAGUCCACUGUUCCAGAAAAUGCCUGAAGAUGCUCUGUUGUUAAUCAGGAUGGCUGCUAACUUCAUCAUGGGUUCUAAAUCGCCUGGUGAUACAAGUCCAUGCAUCUCGUGGGAUAAGCGCCUGGAAUAGUCUCAAUCGAUGUUGGACCUAAAGAGUCAAGGUGCUGCAGCUUAGCAUGUAUUGGUUCUACGACUUCAUAGUCUGAUAGAAAACAUAAAAACUUAUCCAAGAUUUGAAUAUUCCAGCAAGUCAAAAGAGAGAUACAACUUUUAUUCGAAUUUGAUACACUGUAGACUGCUUUCUUCCUUCCUAGUUGGAUUGCUCGACAUGAAUACGAGAGAAUAUGAUAUUAUAUGCAGUUUCAGCACGUGUGGUACUGUUGACUUCAAUUACAUGCCUCCUCUGUCCUCUGACUAAAGGAAGAGGUAAUGACUGGUUUAGACGGUGGGGCAACGGCUAUUGGAGCGUUUUACCUUCUGGAAACUGAGUCGCCCUAAAGACUUGGUAUGCUUACCUUUUCUUUGCAGCAAGAGCAUUUUACGAAAACACAGAGAGCCCCGUUAAAGUACUGCUUAAUGAGUAGUAGACGAUGAAAAUUGCAAGCCAAACUCAAAAUAUGUCUACAUGGACGAAUGAUGCAAGCUGUUGAGCGCAAUUCCUAUUUGAGUCACGCUGAUUAAUUGACUCUCUCUUUAGAUUGGCCAAGCAGUUUCUUUAAAUCUUGAAGAGACCCUCGCAGUGCUUUGGGAUAGCAAACAUAAUCAAGUCAGGAGCCUUUCCAGUUUAGUAGAGUACGACCAAAGAGAGCGCAUUCUUAACAUCCAAUCAGUACUGUGUGAUUGUUACUCUUGAUUUCUAGUGAAAUUCCUAUCGAGCUCCAUCACUGAGGUAAAGAAGGGUUUACUGCAAGUAUCAUUAUCUUAGAGUUUGUUGUGUAUGUUGAUAUCCGAGGGUUAAAGAUACCUUUUCAAGGAAAAUAACUUUUCUUUUGGAGCCAAGGGGGUUCAGAGAAAACCAGCAGAGUGCCCUACUACAAGAGCGCAAAGCAAUGCUAGGAAGUUCUAUAUGAUGAGCUGCCACCUAGCAAAGUACAUCAAUUCAAUCUUUUCCAGUUAAUUUUGGUCAAAUUUUGUUGACUAAAUAUCGAUCGGUUGACGUGAUACGAUCGACGCUGACGUGGAUAAUUUUUAAUAAUAUUUUAAUUUUUUUGGAUUUGAAUUUUACUUAAUUUUUCUUUUUCUUUUUUUUCAUUUUUUUUUCUUCUUCUCCUUCCUCUAGUCAAUCGUCAGACCUUUGGCAAUUGGCCAUCGGCAAGGCUUGAGCCCUCGCCAGAGGCUGUGAGGGCGAUCGACAAUCAGCCAGAGAAGACAGCUGGCGAGGUUGAGGAGGAAGGAGGGGCACAAAGAAAAAAGAAGAAAAAAGAAAAGGAAAAAAGAAAAAGAAAAAGAAAAAGAAAAAAAAGAAAAAAGAAAAGAAAAGAAAAAGGAAAAAAAUAUUAAAAUAUUAAAAUAUUAAAAUAUUAAAAUAUUAAAAUAUUAAAAUAUUAAAAUAUUAAAAUAUUAUUAAAAGUUGUUAACGUCAGCGUCAAUCGUGUCAUAUCCAAUGCUUAGUCAGCAAAAUCCGGCUAAAAUUAAUUGGAAAUUAUCGAAUUAACACAAAAUAAAAAUAUUUAAGACUAAAUUGGUAUUUAUAAAAUAUUUAGAAUUAAAUUAGCAUAAAUAUAAAAUGUUUAGGAUUUCUUGGACACUUUUCCCCCAAUAAACUUGAUUUAUAUUCAUGAUUUAGGAUUCAUUGAAUGUAAUUAGACAAAAUCUUAUUUAAUCAAGAAUAGAGGAAAUUAAGGGCGAUUACAAAAUAGAAAUAGAAAUCGUCAUUGUCGUAAUGUGACGGACCAGGUGUUUCCAGAUGGACCUACGGGAUUCGCCAUUUCACUUGAACGUUCGUCCGUCCGUCCGUUCGAGCGGGACUGGAAAGACCGCGAAGGUACUAGAAUGAUCCUCUCUUUCCUAUUUAACUCCACGACUUGUCUUCUAAGCUCCAUCGUCGAACGGUAGCAAUUCUCAUCAUCUUCCUUAAGCAUUCCAUCGAACACUUUCUCCGCUCGGUCUCGCAUUUUCACCGGUAAACCCAACAACCAUGUCGCUCAUCCCAAGCUGGUUCGGCGGCCGCCGCAGCAACGUCUUCGACCCUUUCUCCCUCGACCUCUGGGACCCCUUCAAGGACUUCCCUUUCCCUUCCUCCUCCCUCUCCGCCUCUAAUUUCCCUCAAACUGUCCGGGAAAAUACUGCUUUUGUGAACACGAGGAUCGACUGGAGGGAGACCCCGGAGGCCCACGUGUUCAAGGCGGAUCUCCCCGGGCUCAAGAAGGAGGAAGUCAAGGUGGAGAUCGAGGACGAUCGGGUGCUCCAGAUAAGCGGCGAGAGGAACGUGGAGAAGGAGGACAAGAACGACACGUGGCACCGGGUGGAGAGGAGCAGCGGGAAAUUCAUGAGGAGGUUCAGGCUGCCGGAGAACGCGAGGAUGGAUCAGGUGAAGGCCUCGAUGGAGAAUGGGGUGCUCACCAUCACUGUUCCCAAGGUGGAGGAGAAGAAGCCUGAGGUCAAGGCCAUCGAGAUCUCCGGUUGAGAGUCGGUGAAUCUAUGGUCCUCGUUACGACUUGUGUCUAUAUAUAGAGCAAGUAUGCUGUGCUAUGUGAGGGUUGGGAGGCUCGGUCCCAUGGUGUCUGAUAUAGCGAUAUGUUGUCCGCCGAUGACUCUUUAGUUGUAAUGAAAUUCGAAGUUACUAUUUUCUAACUUCUGUUUGAGGUGAUAUUGGUUGCUCAAAAGUCUUUUGAUUGUGUUUUGUUCGUGGGACGUUCCUUAUUUUUAUUUACAUACUGCUUCCGGGAGUUCAAUUAGUUUAAUUAUUUUUGGAUGAUUAAUUCAAUUUCUGGGAAGGAUACCUCCAAAGUGCAGGAUGGACUUUGCACAUCGUGAUCGUUUUUUCAGUUGGGUUUGGAGGUACCGGCAAUAUGGAGAAGCUGAUAAGUUUGGGAUGAAAACAAGCUAGAAACCACAUUACUCCUUUGGACUCAGAGCAAGGUUUGGGGUUCCUUCUGCUGCAUUGUAUCAAAUUUGUCAGGUAACAGGAUAAAAUAUUUGAUAUGGCCUUCAAUUUCUGUUCCAUCAUCAUCAGAUCAGAGAAAAAUGAUCAGAUUCACUGGUUCCUAUAUUGAGGCGUGCGAAGUAUCGCCUUUUCCGAUGCUCAUGUUGAUUUGGUCUUUGAAAGCCGCGGCUCUCAGCCUUAUCUCUGUCCCUUCCUUGCCAACCGUCAGCCUCCUCACAGCUUGCUCCAUCUCUUUCUGGUCUAGACCACACUCUAACUCCAAUCCCACCAUCCGAACGUGGCGCGAGUACCUCACCUUAGCAUUCUGGUCCCUGAAGCACGGUGGGCAUAUCAUUGGGACUCCUUUGGAAAUGAUUUCCAAGGUCGAAUUCCAUCUGCAAUGGGUCCAAAAGCUUCCUGUGGCACGGUGUGCUAAAACUUCCUCUAGAGCCCAUCUCGCAACACGGCCAGUUUCUUCGUUGGCUUCUUCGAACCCUUCUGGUAAUAGCUCGAUCCACUCUAAGCCUCUGUCUGAGCCAGGCCGGAUUAGCCACAAGAACGCUGCUGUUUGCCAACCCCCAAGCCAAUUCUGCAAACUUUCCCUAAUUCAUUGAAGCCAAGCUUCCUAAGCUCACAUAAAUAACUUAGGUAAAUUUGUAUGUAGAUUAAAAAAAAGUCUAUUUAUGAUUUUAAGCAAGCUUGUAGAUAAUGGUAUUUAAAGUUUCAUAGUGUUGUCAAAUAUAAAGUAUAUACUGUAUACAUUUUUUCGUACUUUAUGUAGAUGAUAUCUUACUUGCGAGUAAUGACAUUAGAUUAAUGGGACAAAAGUGGAUGUUAUCAAAAAAAUUUAACAUGAAAGAUCUUGGUGAUGCGUUUUUUGUUCUUGGCAUUGAGGUCCAUAUGGAUUGUUAUUGGGUUUGUUUUAGAGGGCAUAUGUUGAUCGUAUUUUAGAAAGAUUCAAUAUGCAUCAUUGCAAUCCGGGGUGAUAAGUUGAGUCUUUCACGAUAUCCUCGUUUAGAUUUUGAGAAAGUUCAAAUGAAUGAUGUACCUUAUGCUAGUAUGCUUGGAAGUAUCAUGUAUACUCAAGUUUACAUUAGACCAGAUUUAUUUUUGCGACAUGACUUCUAGGUAGAUAUUAGUCAAAUCUAGAAUGUGAUCACUGGGUUGUUGUCAAGAAGAUUUUAAGGUAUUUAAAGAGGACAAUAGAUUAUAUGCUGAUUUAUAGACAUGUUCCGAACUUACAACUAAUAGGGUAUUUGGAUGUAGAUUUUGCUGGUUGUUAAGAUGAUAUGAAAUCGACGGUGAAAUAUAUAUUUAUAUUGGCAGGAGGUGCAGAAAUCUAUAUAUUCUUCUACCAUGCAAAUAGAGUUUGUAGCAUGCUUUUCAGCUGCUAUUUAGGCGAUUUGGCUCUAGAAUCUUAUUAGGGAGUUAACUGUUUUUUAUUUUGUGGGUAGAGCUAUAUAGUUAUAAUAAUAAUAGAAGUCUCCAAAAGUCUAAGCAUAUGGAGGUCAAGUUUAUGACCAUAAAUGAAUCAGUACAGAAUAGUGGUGUUACAGUAGAUCAUAUUCCUACAGAUGAUAUGAUUGUAGAUCCAUUAACUAAAGACCUAUGCCCUUAUGUGUUUGAGUGAUAUGUCGUUAGCAUGGGUUUAGGAGUAUUUUGGGAUGUUGUUAUUUAGUGAAAGUUGUUUUUAUUUUUCUUUUAAUAAAGUUUAUAUUUGUGUUUUUUAUAUUUAGUAGCGUUUUGAUAUAUAUUAACAUUUGCAUUCAAUAAAAUAUUUUUAAAUAAAUUGUUAUUAUGUUGAAUAUAUAUUGAUAAAAGUCUUAAAUGUAUUAUAUAAACCUUAAGUGAAUGUUAAGGGCAUCGGGUUAUUAACCUUGAGUAUAUGUUUUAUCACACAUAAAGAAAUAUUAACUGUAAAGGCAAGGCAUAUGUGGGUUUACUAGAACCAUAAAAAUAUUUUCUAAUGGCAUAGAUUUUUGUGAUACUUAAAAUGAGAGAAUGGUGAUUGACAAAUGGGAUCUCUCUAUGAGAGAUGUUAUUCAUUUAUCACACUACCAUAUUAAAUCCAUAUCAAUAAAGUUAAAAGCACUCAUAAGCACUCGUGACCAUGAAAGGUUUUGUGUGUAUACAUGCAGCUCCUACCAUGAUUUGGUGUUUGAGACUUUAUAUGAUGUAAUUGACUAUUAAGAAUUAUCUCUUAAAUUAAUGCGCGCACAUACAAUACAAUUUCAAUUAAUAUAACUCAAGUGGAAGAGUAUAAAAGUUUUUCUAAUGUGGGUUACAUUAAUUAAUAUUGUAAUUUACCAUUUUUUGGGAUUGGUCUAAAGUGAGAUAGAAAGAUUUUUAAUUAAUUUAUAUGGGGCUAGUUAGUGUGGGUUAAGUUGAACUUGACUCGUAAUAAGAUGGCCUAGUUGGAACACUAUAGAUAGUCGUCAAGUCUCUCCUCUAACUCUAAUUUUCAUAAUUAUCCUCACAAAUGAGCAUUUACCUAACGCAAAAGGGUGAGGGGGUUGUCUCAUUGAGCCAAUGAUAUAGAGGGCAAAGAGGAGAAUGACUUGUGCUUGAAUCAUCGCUUUUUUGCUUUCGCAUCAAGAACGAUGAAUUCCAAAACAAGUGUAUUAAUUUUUUUACUUGAUUAUAUGUGUUUUUGUUCUAGUUAUGGAGAUAAUGAGUUACGUGUUUUAGCAUCUAACAUCCCUCUCUGAAGUCUAGAUCUAAAUUUGGGUUGCCCGUCUAAUGCUCCAUCGAGGGUUGCUAGGGGCGGUUGAGGAUCUAGAAGAGCACAUCUAGGUCAUUGGGGUCUAGGUUGGCAUGGGUCUAGGUUGCUAGUCUAAUGCUCCACUGAAUGUUGCGCAAGGUUUGUUGAUGAUGGCUAAGGUUGUCUGAUGGUUUGGGUUUGCUUGUUUGGGUCGAUGAUUGUGUGUUUAGGUCGCCUAUUUGUAUGCUCUAACGAGGGUCAUCAAGGGAGGCCGAGGGUCUCCAAGGAUUUGGGUUGACGAUCGCGUAGUUUAGGUUGUCGAGGUCAUGCGACCCUCAGGGUCUCCUAGCUUAGGCUACCCGAGGUUGCUUCACCUCGGUGUCACCUUGCAUGACCACUUCGACGAUUCAAUUGUUGCUGACAUUCAAUUUGCUUCCCAAGUUUGCUCCCAAGAUGAGAUAUCUCUACUCUCCAGUAGUUAUAUAGUUUAUUUUUUUUCGUUCUUUUUUCUACCUUCGAAGUUACAUUGCAAAAAUAUCAUGAAAGUCAUUUAACCAAACAAUAUUUACUUUGAGUCAAAGAUUCAUGGGGCAAUGACUUUGCAUUCUCUCAAAACUCUCCCAAACACGCAUUUUGAGUUACAGUGAUUGGUUUCAAGUUGGGUAGAUUUUAGACCUCAAAUCUGAAAUCUAAUCUAUUAGAACCGAUUCCAAGUUUUUGGAACCUAAAACCUAUUUUGUAUGUCUUGGAACCUGUCAUUCUUUUGUUCUUUUUUUUUUAGGUUCACUUUUUAUAGCAAAAAAAUAUAAGUAAUAAAAUGGUUCAAAGUAAAAGAUGACUAAGGGUGAAGGAGCAAAGGUGAGUUAGGAACGAGCGAGUGUGAGCCGUGAGUGAGCGAGGAGGAGGGUGAGUCGCCAGCAAGCGAGAGAGAAUUGCGAAAUGUUUGAGUAAGGUUGAAGAGAACAGAGAAAAAAGAGAUAGAAAAAUAUGUUAAGAGAAAAAUUGGGGUUUCUAAACUUUAUGAAACUUGUACCAAAUUUGAUUCAAUGACAUAUGGUUCUUCUUAACUGACCAAAAAAAGAAAAAAAGAAAAAAAAAAGACAUAUGGUUCUUCAGUUGAAAUUGCAAACAAGAUUGGUUCGAACGACUGAUGAUCCGGUUCUCGAAUAGAACUGGCCCGACAACAGAGCUCUACUAACAAACCCUAGUUUCAUAAAAAUCCUAGUAUCGUAAUGUCAUUUGCCCAGUAUUUACCUAGUAUGAGAUGAUUAUAUUUUUUUAGCAAGAGGAAUUCCUUUAAUCGCAUCUUUUGAUUAGUGGCAAAUAAACUUGAUUUAUAUUCAUGAUUUAGGAUCCAUCGAAUUUAAUUGGACAAAAUCUUAUUUAAUCAAGAAUAGAGGAAAUUAAGGGCGGUCGCAAAAUAGAAAUAGAAUUCGUCAUCAUCGUAAUGUGACGGACCAAGUGUUUCCAGAUAGACCUCCGGGGUUCGCCAUUUCGCUCGAACGUUCGUCCACCGACACUCAGAAAGACCGCGAAGGUACGAGAAUGAUCCUCUCUUUCCUAUUUAACUCCCAACUUGUCUUCCAGGCUCCAUCGUCAAACGGUAGCAAUUCUCAUCGUCUAUCUCAAGCAUUCUAUCGAACACUUUCUCCGCUCAGUCUCGCAUUUUCACCAGUAAACCCAACAACCAUGUCGCUCAUCCCAAGCUGGUUCGGCGGCCGCCGCAGCAAUGUCUUCGACCCUUUCUCCCUCGACCUCUGGGACCCCUUCAAGGAUUUCCCUUUCCCUUCCUCCUCCCUCUCCGCCUCUAAUUUCCCUCAAACCAUCCGAGAAAAUACUGCUUUUGUGAACACGAGGAUCGACUGGAGGGAGACCCCGGAGGCCCACGUGUUUAAGGCGGAUCUCCCA